rnacentral:rRNA from 1 species
CCCCAGACUCCUACGGGAGGCAGCAGUGGGGGAUAUUGCACAAUGGGGGGAACCCUGAUGCAGCGACGCCGCGUGGGUGAAGGAGCGUUUCGGCGCGUAAAGCCCUGUCAGCAGGGAAGAAAAUGACGGUACCUGAAGAAGAAGCCCCGGCUAACUACGUGCCAGCAGCCGCGGUAAUACGUAGGGGGCAAGCGUUAUCCGGAUUUACUGGGUGUAAAGGGGGCGCAGACGGCGAUGCAAGCCAGGAGUGAAAGCCCGGGGCCCAACCCCGGGACUGCUCUUGGAACUGCGUGGCUGGAGUGCAGGAGGGGCAGGCGGAAUUCCUGGUGUAGCGGUGAAAUGCGUAGAUAUCAGGAGGAACACCGGUGGCGAAGGCGGCCUGCUGGACUGCAACUGACGUUGAGGCCCGAAAGCGUGGGGAGCAAACAGGAUUAGAUACCCGGGUAA